AUGAAGAGAGAGACGAAGAAGAAGGCGGAAGAGACAGAAAGAGAGAGAGAGAUUACUUGUUAUAUAUGUUUUAUGCCUAUAUUUAUAUCAUAAUAUUUAUACUGAGUCUCCUUUUUCUCUCC
rnacentral:ribozyme from 1 species